ACAAGAGAGGCAAGGCCCNCUUAAACUUAAGCGCCUUCUAGCUAAACAGAUGAUCUAAUCUUAAUCUGACAUGCAGUAAGCAUACAGCCCUAGACCAGGGCUA
rnacentral:rRNA from 1 species